rnacentral:rRNA from 1 species
UACGUAGGGGCCGAGCGUUGUCCGGAGUUAUUGGGCGUAAAGCGCGCGCAGGCGGCCUCGCGCGCCCGACGUGAAAGCCCCCGGCUUAACCGGGGAGGGUCGUUGGGGACGGCGGGGCUUGAGGGCGGGAGAGGUCGGUGGAAUUCCCGGUGUAGUGGUGAAAUGCGUAGAGAUCGGAAGGAAGGCCAGUGGCGAAGGCGAGUUCCUGGACAGUGACUGACGCUGAGGCACGAAGGCCAGGGGAGCAAACGGG